rnacentral:rRNA from 1 species
GACGAACGCUGGCGGCGUGCUUAACACAUGCAAGUCGAACGGUAAGGCCCUUCGGGGUACACGAGUGGCGAACGGGUGAGUAACACGUGGGUGAUCUGCCCUGUACUUUGGGAUAAGCCUGGGAAACUGGGUCUAAUACCGGAUAGGACCAUGCGCCUCACGGCGUGUGGUGGAAAGCUUUUGCGGUGUGGGAUGGGCCCGCGGCCUAUCAGCUUGUUGGUGGGGUAAUGGCCUACCAAGGCGACGACGGGUAGUCGGCCUGAGAGGGUGACCGGCCACACUGGGACUGAGAUACGGCCCAGACUCCUACGGGAGGCAGCAGUGGGGAAUAUUGCACAAUGGGCGCAAGCCUGAUGCAGCGACGCCGCGUGAGGGAUGACGGCCUUCGGGUUGUAAACCUCUUUCAGUAGGGACGAAGCGCAAGUGACGGUACCUACAGAAGAAGGACCGGCCAACUACGUGCCAGCCGCCGCCGUAA